GUGAGGAAUUUUCCGCAAUGGGCGAAAGCCUGACGGAGCAAUGCCGCGUGAAGGAUGAAGGCCUAUGGGUUGUAAACUUCUUUUCUCAGAAAAGAAUUAUGACGGUAUCUGAGGAAUAAGCAUCGGCUAACUCUGUGCCAGCAGCCGCGGUAAGACAGAGGAUGCAAGCGUUAUCCGGAAUGAUUGGGCGUAAAGCGUCUGUAGGUUGUUUAAAAAGUAUUCUGUCAAAGAUUAGGGCUUAACCCUAGAUAGGCAGAAUAAACUUUUAAGCUAGAGUUUGGUAGAGGCAGAGGGAAUUCCCGGUGGAGCGGUGAAAUGCGUAGAUAUCGGGAGGAACACCAAAGGCGAAGGCACUCUGCUGGGCCAAUACUAACACUGAGAGACGAAAGCGAGGGGAGCAAAUGGGAUUAGAUACCCCAGUAGUCC
rnacentral:rRNA from 1 species